rnacentral:rRNA from 1 species
UACGUAGGCAGCAAGCGUUGUUCGGAGUUACUGGGCGUAAAGGGUGUGUAGGCGGUUCUUUAAGUUUGGUGUGAAAUCUCCCGGCUCAACUGGGAGGGUGCGCCGAAUACUGAGGGACUAGAGUACGGGAGAGGAAAGUGGAAUUCCUGGUGUAGCGGUGAAAUGCGUAGAUAUCAGGAGGAACACCUGCGGCGAAGGCGGCCUUCUGGACGAUGACUGACGCUGAGACACGAAAGCGUGGGGAGCAAACAGG